CUCAGGGAAGAAUAAUGACGGUACCUGGGGAAUAAGUCUUGGCUAACUACGUGCCAGCAGCCGCGGUAAUACGUAGGAGGCGAGCGUUAUCCGGAUUUACUGGGCGUAAAGAGGGCGUAGGCAGUUUUUCAAGUCGAUUGUAAAAUCUCCCGGCUUAACUGGGAGGAGCCAGUCGAUACUGUUAGACUAGAGAACAGCAGGGGGAGGUGGAAUUCCCGGUGUAGUGGUGAAAUGUGUAGAUAUCGGGAGGAACACCAGUGGCGAAAGCGGCCUCCUAGCUGUUUCUGACGCUGAGUCCGAAAGCGUGGGGAGCAAACAGAUCAGAUACCCUGGUAGUCCACGCUGUAACGAUGGACACUAGUAUAGGGAGUAUCGACCCUCUCUGUGCCGAAGCUAACGCAUUAAGUGUCCCGCCUGGGGAGUACGGCCGCAAGGCUAAAACUCAAAGGAAUUGACGGGGGCCCGCACAAGCAGCGGAGCGUGUGGUUUAAUUCGAUGCAACGCGAAGAACCUUACCAAGGCUUGACAUGUCGGAAGUAGCGACCCGAAAGGGAAGCCACCUGUUGAGUCAGGAACCGUCACAGGUGCUGCAUGGCUGUCGUCAGCUCGUGCUGUGAAGUGUUAGGUUAAGUCCUGUAACGAGCGCAACCCUCGUUGCCAGUUGUUUUCUCUGGCGAGACUGCCCUGCAAAAUGGGGAGGAAGGUGGGGAUGACGUCAAGUCAGCACGGCCCUUAUGCCUUGGGCUACACACACGCUACAAUGGGUGGUACAAUGGGUAGCAAUAGAGCAAUCUGGAGCCAAUCCUGUAAAGCCAUCCUCAGUUCGGAUUGCAGGCUGAAACCCGCCUGCAUGAAGUCGGAGUUGCUAGUAACCGCAGGUCAGCAUACUGCGGUGAAUACGUUCUCGGGCCUUGUACACACCGCCCGUCACGUCAUGAAAGUUGGCAACACCUGAAGUCGAUGGGCUAACCUCGACUUGUCGGGGGGGCAGUCGCCGAGGGUGGGGUUGAUGAUUGGGACG
rnacentral:rRNA from 1 species